rnacentral:rRNA from 1 species
GUUAGAGGUCCGAAGGCGAUCAGAUACCGCCCUAGUUCUAACCAUAAACGAUGCCAGCCAGCGAUCCGCCGACGUUCCUCCGAUGACUCGGCGGGGAGCUUUCCCCGGGAAACCAAAGCUUUUGGGUUCCGGGGGAAGUAUGGUUGCAAAGCUGAAACUUAAAGGAAUUGACGGAAGGGCACCACCAGGAGUGGAGCCUGCGGCUUAAUUUGACUCAACACGGGAAACCUCACCAGGCCCGGACAUUGGAAGGAUUGACAGAUCGAUAGCUCUUUCUCGAUUCAGUGGGUAGUGGUGCAUGGCCGUUCUUAGUUGGUGGACUGAUUUGUCUGGUUAAUUCCGAUAACGAACGAGACUCUAACCUAUUAACUAGGCGUUGCCGGUAUAAAUAGCUACC